rnacentral:sRNA from 1 species
CACUCGGGGAUAAAUAGUUCCAAUGCAGAAGUGCUGGCUCUGUUCAAUGUGACCGAGGCGGAUGCUGGGGAAUAUAUAUGUAAGGUCUCCAAUUAUAUAGGGCAGGCCAACCAGUCUGCCUGGCUCACUGUCCUGCCAAAACAGCAAGGCCGCCGGUGUUAACACCACGGACAAAGAGAUUGAGGUUCUCUAUAUUCGGAAUGUAACUUUUGAGGACGCUGGGGAAUAUACGUGCUUGGCGGGUAAUUCUAUUGGGAUAUCCUUUCACUCUGCAUGGUUGACAGUUCUGCCAGCUCCUGGAAGAGAAAAGGAGAUCACAGCUUCCCCAGACUACCUGGAGAUAGCCAUUUACUGCAUAGGGGUCUUCUUAAUCGCCUGUAUGGUGG